UUAGGAAUUUUCCGCAAUGGGCGAAAGCCUGACGGAGCAACGCCGCGUGAAGGAUGAAGGCCCUCGGGACGUAAACCUCUGUCGGGAGGGAAGAAUAUCUGAGGGUACCUCCUGACGAAGCCCCGGCUGACUC
rnacentral:rRNA from 1 species